ensembl:lncRNA
UGGGGGAAGGAUGGAGAGAUAAAGAUGGGGGGAAGGAUGGAGAGAUAAAGAGUGGGGGAAGGAUGGAGAGAUAAAGAGUGGGGGAAGGAUGGAGAGAUAAAGAGUGGGGGAAGGAUGGAGAGAUAAAGAGUGGGGGAUGGAUGGAGAGAUAAAGAGUGGGGGAUGGAUGGAGAGAUAAAGUGGGGGAAGGAUGGAGAGAUAAAGAGUGGGGGAAGGAUGGAGAGAUAAAGAGUGGGGGAAGGAUGGAGAGAUAAAGAAGUGGGGAAGGGGGUGCUUAGCUAAAAACUUUAGGGCGAAUCAAUCUGGCAGCGAAAGGGGGGAGGACGUAAGAAAGAGGGGAGAAGAAGAAAGAGGAGAAGGGAGGGGGAGGGAUGCGGUAGAGGGAGAGAGGGAUUAUUCACCGUUUCAAAUGAAUAAUUGCGUAUUGUGUGAAUCUGGC